AAGCCACAUUCGGUAGCUCUCUCUCUCUGCACUGCGUUGCUGAAAGGUGGCACUGUGUCCUAUUCUGUGUGAAAGAAUACAUUUUCAGAAUGUAAAAGGCGAGGAGGAACACACAAAACCUGAAGCUUGCUUCAUGAAUCAUUCCCUGUCAUCUGCGUGGAAAGACACUGAACGAAUCGCAGGAAACACAAGCGCUCUUCCAGAAUGUUCAAGGUGAAAGAGAAAGCAAACGGCAGGCCAAGUCUACAGUGCUAACUAUGGGACUCUGCAUCAGAUGCAAAGCCAACAGAGCCACACUCCCGGUAGACUUUCCGGAUGGCACUGCAGUACUUCCGCACUGCAGUGAACGCAGAUUUGUGACGUGAGAAAAGCUUGGCAGACAGCUACAGAGUAACACCAGAUUCCAUGGUUCCGUUUAGCUCUGUUUCGCUCAGAUUUCUUAAUUUUCUCAUUUCCCAUUUCAGAUGUGUUAAAUCGAGUGUUGGAAAUAAAUCACUGGAACAAGACAUUUGAGAACCCCGUUUCCUUUUCUACUUUGUCAGAAGUGCAGCCAUGUGUGAUCACACACACCGAAACAGCUUCCUAGACUGCGGAUAUUUGAGGAUUUGAGUUGAUGUGAAGAUGAUACAUACAGUUUUCUGAUUUUUCUCUUUGGGGGGAACUUGAAGCAACAUACUCCAUUACCUAUUCAGAAUGACCUGCCUGGGAGCUGAGGAAAUUCUCUAAGUAGCUGGGGUAGAAUGCGGCCAGUUGUCUAAAAAUGAAUCUUUUUUAUGUACCUGGCUGCUUUCUCACUGCCUCCCGAAUGAGCUAAGCACAGCUGGAUUGAUGCGUAGUCCUGGUGACAGCUGCUGGAGCUUCCUGUACUGAAAUUCAGCUUUCAUGUCCUAGCUGUUGCUUCUUGGUGUCCUCUGGAUUAACUUAAGUCUGCUUGCCUCCUACUCAAAAAGGGGACCUGCGAUGAAUAGAACUGCUAAGACCAGAAGCUCCAGCCUCCACCCAGGUCACAUGCUCUAAGAAGUAGAAUACCAGAGAGGUCAGGACACAGUCUGCUCUUUUACAUGAUAGCCUGCCUGACUGGACUCACCCUCCAUCUACAUGCUGGAGAUCUCACCAGACCGUCCCUGAGGGUGAUGAGUGCGGUUGCAUGGGUUCCAUGGUUCCGGAGCAGUACGGACCCUUACCUCGGACAAAAUUCCUGACCUACAACCUAUGCCUGUCAGUGGAGCAGGAGACAGCUCAUAUGCACACUUAUGCUGUAUUUUAUACAUAUCAUUUCUGUCAUU